rnacentral:sRNA from 1 species
GGUGAACCUGCGGAAGGAUCAUUACAGAGUUCUUGCCCUUCGGGGUAGACCUCCCCACCCUUGUGUAUCAUUAUCAAAUGUUGCUUUGGCGGACCGCGAGCCUGGCUCGCCUGGACUCCGGUCCAGCGUGUCCGCCAGAGGACCCUAAACUCUGAAUGUUAGUGUCGUCUGAGUACUAUUAAAUAGUUAAAACUUUCAACAACGGAUCUCUUGGUUCUGGCAUCGAUGAAGAACGCAGCGAAAUGCGAUAAGUAAUGUGAAUUGCAGAAUUCAGUGAAUCAUCGAAUCUUUGAACGCACAUUGCGCCCCUUGGUAUUCCGGGGGGCAUGCCUGUUCGAGCGUCAUUAAUACCAAUCUAGCCUGGCUAGGUAUUGGACUUCGCCCCCGGGCGGGUCUUAAAAUCAGUGGCGGUGCUCUUCAGCUCUACGCGUAGUAAUUCUUCUCGCUAUAGGGUCUGUGGGGAUACUAGCCAGCAACUCCAAAUUUUUCUAGGUGACCUCGGAUCAGG